rnacentral:tRNA from 1 species
GACUGGAUAGCUCAGUGGUAGAGCGUUGGUCUGACAAUCAGGAGCUGAGGGUUAGAAUCCUUUGGUGGUCA